rnacentral:lncRNA from 1 species
GACUCUAGGGUAUCUCAUUCAGGGGGUAGUUAGUCUUUUCAUCUUAACGUAUCUUUAAGUAGGACAGCAUUGGUGAGGGGCAGCCUCCUAUCCUGGUGAAUGAUAGUUCUAUUUGGGUUAGCUUCUAAGACAGGGGCCUAUACUAUGCUUUUGUGACCUUACAGUGUCUUUUGCCAUUCCAAUAAAACUUUACAAAAACAGUAGUGGCCACACAUGGCCACAGACUGGUUUGUUGACCUCUGCCCUACACCAUGACCUGUCUACGAGGCUUUGGAUUCUGUAAUAAGGAGUCCAAGAGACGGCAGGGGCAUGGGACAUUUGGGGAAGAUGGUCAGAAGCCUCUUUUGCAAGCAAACUGACUUUGUCAGGGUCUAGCACUAGUAGAGGAAAGCUAGAGGUAUUGGGGAGGGGAGGCCCGCCAAAGUCACGGUUCUUUCAUGGACUGCAGGCUUCCAGAACCAAGAUGUUCUCCUUUCAGGGGCAUUAGAGCAACCUGGAGCACUUGUUUGAAAAGUUCUAGACCAGUGCUGGAGAGAUGACUCCAUAGUUAAGAGCACUUGUUGCUCUUGCUGGGGGCUCAGGUUUGGUUCCCAGCAUCACACGCAGGUCCCCUGCAGGCAUCAGGCACACCUGCGGGGCAUAUACAUGCAGGCCAGAUUGCAAGGUGGCACAGGCCUUUAAUUCCAGCACUUGAGAAGCAGAAGCAGGCAGAGCUCCGUGAGUCUGAGGCCAGCCUGGUCUGCAUAUCAAGCUUCAGAGCAUCCAAGCCUACACAAUGCUGUAUCAACAAAACCCAACAAGAACGAAAAACAAAAUAUCCC